AUGUCAGACUCCUUGGUCCGUGUUUCAAGACGGGUCGGAUGGGGAGACCGCAGGCCGUUGCAGCGCAGUGCCCCGAGGGACACGCCUUUAGGCGCGCGGGUACCGGUCGUGCCGACGACGGCCACCGGGGGCACCUAGGGCCCCCGGGCUUUGGCCGCCGGCGCGGCCGACAACAGUCCACACCCCGAGCCGAGCGGCGGACCAUCAAGAGCCGUUCCGCAUACGGCCGGGGCGCAUCGCCGGCCCCCAUCCGCUUCCCUCCCGGCAAUUUCAAGCACUCUUUGACUCUCUUUUCAAAGUCCUUUUCAUCUUUCCCUCGCGGUACUUGUUCGCUAUCGGUCUCUCGCCUGUAUUUAGCCUUGGACGGAGUCUACCGCCCGAUUUGGGCUGCAUUCCCAAACAACCCGACUCGUUGACGGCGCCUCGUGGGGCGACAGGGUCCGGGCCGGACGGGGCUCUCACCCUCCCAGGCGCCCCUUUCCAGGGGACUUGGGCCCGGUCCGUCGCUGAGGACGCCUCUCCAGACUACAAUUCGGACGGCACAGCCGCCCGAUUCUCAAGCUGGGCUGCUCCCGGUUCGCUCGCCGUUACUAGGGGAAUCCUUGUAAGUUUCUUCUCCUCCGCUUAUUUAUAUGCUUAAACUCAGCGGGUAGUCCCG